rnacentral:rRNA from 1 species
CACGUAGGGGGGCAAGCGUUAAUCGGAAUUACUGGGCGUAAAGCGCGCGUAGGCGGCCUUGCAAGUUAGAGGUGAAAGCCCGGAGCUCAACUCCGGAACUGCCUUUAAAAACUGCAUAGCUUGAAUCCGGGAGAGGUGAGUGGAAUUCCGAGUGUAGAGGUGAAAUUCGUAGAUAUUCGGAAGAACACCAGUGGCGAAGGCGGCUCACUGGACCGGUAUUGACGCUGAGGUGGCGAAAAGCGGUGGGGAGCAAACAGGG